UGGGGAAUAUUGGACAAUGGGCGCAAGCCUGAUCCAGCCAUGCCGCGUGAGUGAUGAAGGCCCUAGGGUUGUAAAGCUCUUUCACCGGUGAAGAUAAUGACGGUAACCGGAGAAGAAGCCCCGGCUAACUUCGUGCCAGCAGCCGCGGUAAUACGAAGGGGGCUAGCGUUGUUCGGAUUUACUGGGCGUAAAGCGCACGUAGGCGGACUAUUAAGUCAGGGGUGAAAUCCCGGGGCUCAACCCCGGAACUGCCUUUGAUACUGGUAGUCUUGAGUUCGAGAUAGGUGAGUGGAAUUCCGAGUGUAGAGGUGAAAUUCGUAGAUAUUCGGAGGAACACCAGUGGCGAAGGCGGCUCACUGGCUCGAUACUGACGCUGAGGUGCGAAAGCGUGGGGAGCAAACAGG
rnacentral:rRNA from 1 species